rnacentral:rRNA from 1 species
ACUCAAAGGAAUUGACGGGGCCCCGCACAAGCAGCGGAGCGUGUGGAUUAAUUCGAUGCAACGCGAAGAACCUCACCCAGGCUUGACAUGCCGGUGGUAGGGACCCGAGAGGGAACCGACCCGCAAGGGAGCCGGUACAGGUGCUGCAUGGCUGUCGUCAGCUCGUGCCGUGAGGUGUUGGGUUAAGUCCCGCAACGAGCGCAACCCCCGUCCCUAGUUGCCGUUUCUAGGGAGACUGCCGGGCGAACCCCGGAGGAGGGUGGGGAUGACGUCAAGUCCGCAUGGCCCCUACGCCUGGGGCUUCACACACGCUACAAUCGCCGGCACAGCGGGUCGCCACCACGCGAGUGGGAGCCAACCCCCCAAAACCGGCGCCAGUCCGGAUCGCAGGCUGCAACCCGCCUGCGUGAAGCCGGAGUUGCUAGUAACCGCGCGUCAGCACAGUGCGGUGAAUGCGUUCCCGGGGCUUGCACACACCGCCCGU